rnacentral:rRNA from 1 species
CCUACGGGAGGCAGCAGUGAGGAAUAUUGGUCAAUGGCCGCAGGGCUGAACCAGCCAAGUCGCGUGAGGGAUGACGGUCCUAUGGAUUGUAAACCUCUUUUGUCAGGGAGCAAAAGGCGCCACGUGUGGCGCUUUGCGAGUCCCUGCAGAAAAAGCAUCGGCUAACUCCGUGCCAGCAGCCGCGGUAAUACGGGGGAUGCGAGCGUUGUCCGGAUUUAUUGGGUUUAAAGGGUGCGCAGGCGGAAUGUCAAGUCAGCGGUAAAAUUUCGGGGCACAACCCCGUCGUGCCGUUGAAACUGGCGUGCUGGAGUGAGCGAGAAGUAUGAGGAAUGCGUGGUGUAGCGGUGAAAUGCAUAGAUAUCACGCAGAACUCCGAUUGCGAAGGCAGCAUACCGGCGCGCAACUGACGCUGAUGCACGAAAGCGUGGGUAUCGAACAGGAUUAGAUACCCCUGUAGUC